GACGAACGCUGGCGGCGUGCUUAACACAUGCAAGUCGAACGGAAAGGCCCUGCUUUUUUGGGGUGCUCGAGUGUCGAACGGGUGAUUAACACGUGAUUAACCUGCCCUUGACUUUGGGAUAACUUCAGGAAACUGGGGCUAAUACCGGAUAGGAGCUCCUGCUGCAUGGUGGGGGUUGGAGAGUUUCGGCGGUUGGGGAUGGACUCGCGGCUUAUCAGCUUGUUGGUGGGGUAGUGGCUUACCAAGGCUUUGACGGGUAGCCGGCCUGAGAGGGUGACCGGCAACAUUGGGACUGAGAUACGGCCAAGACUCCUACGGGAGGCAGAAGUGGGGAAUAUUGAACAAUGGGCGGAAGCCUGAUGCAGAAACGCCGCGUGCGGGAUGACGGCAUUCGGGUUGUAAACCGCUUUCGCCUGUGACGAAGCGUGAGUGACGGUAAUGGGUAAAGAAGCACCGGCUAACUACGUG
rnacentral:rRNA from 1 species